rnacentral:lncRNA from 1 species
CUCUCCAUCACUAUCGCGGACCUCCUCCUCCUCCUCGACGCCUACCACCUCACCCCAUCACCUCCCUCUCUUCCACAGUCGCCUCAUCUUCACCCGCCUUCUUUUGUCCUUGGUGCUUCUUAAUACUGUCGGAUGCCUCCAGCAUCCAGGCCCUAGAUGGUAGACCAUUAGAUGCCGCCACCCCCUCUAUCACUUGCCUUCAUCUUUCAGUGCCUGUCCAUCGAUC